AUUGAACGCUGGCGGCAUGCUUUACACAUGCAAGUCGAACGGCAGCACGGGCUUCGGCCUGGUGGCGAGUGGCGAACGGGUGAGCAAUAUAUCGGAACGUACCCAAGAGUGGGGGAUAACGUAGCGAAAGUUACGCUAAUACCGCAUACGAUCUAUGGAUGAAAGCGGGGGAUCGCAAGACCUCGUGCUCCUGGAGCGGCCGAUAUCUGAUUAGCUAGUUGGUGAGGUAAAGGCUCACCAAGGCGACGAUCAGUAGCUGGUCUGAGAGGACGACCAGCCACACUGGAACUGAGACACGGUCCAGACUCCUACGGGAGGCAGCAGUGGGGAAUUGUGGACAAUGGGCGCAAGCCUGAUCCAGCAAUGCCGCGUGAGUGAAGAAGGCCUUCGGGUUGUAAAGCUCUUUUGUCAGGGAAGAAACGGUAGGGGCUAAUAUCCCUUGCUAAUGACGGUACCUGAAGAAUAAGCACCGGCUAACUACGUGCCAGCAGCCGCCGUAACAC
rnacentral:rRNA from 1 species